rnacentral:lncRNA from 1 species
AAAAGAAAACACUCUUAGCAAAUUGGAAAUAGAAGGGAAUUUCUUCUAUUAAGGCUAAUCUGAUUAAUGGUAUCUAUAAAAAAUUUUACAGCAAGUAAUAUACUUAAUUGGUUGAAUAUUUAUCCCUGAAAGAUUAAGAAUGAAAGAGAAGGAUGCUUAUUAUCACUGUACUAGAACAUUAUACUAGAGGUUCUUUUUUUUUUCUGAGACAGAGUCUCACUCUGUCGCCUAGGCUGGAGUGCAUUGGUGCGAUCCUGGCUCACUGCAAGCUCCGCCUCCUGGGUUCAUGCCAUUCUCCUGCCUCAGCCUCCCGAGUAGCUGGGACUACAGGCAUCCGCCACCACGCCCGGCUUAUUUUUUGUAUUUUUAGUAGAGACGGGGUUUCACCAUGUUAGCCAGGAUGGUCUCGAUCUCCUGACCCCUGUGGUCUGCCCACCUCAGCCUCUCAAAUGCUGGGAUUACAGGUGUGAGCCACAAUGCCCGGCCCUGUACUAGAGGUUCUUACCAGAGCAAUAUGACAAGAAAAAUAAAAGUGUUAACAUAGGAAAGGUAAAAACAAAAUUGUCACUAUUUGCAUUAAUUUGUCUUUUACCUGCAAAUUAAAAUUGUAAGGUUCCUUGGUAGGUACAGACAUUCAAUCAUUCACUGACUCAAAUUGAGCCUAACCCUUAUAUGUAAAUGGCUAUUUCAUAUAACCAGAUACCUGGAAACUUCUUAGAAAAGAAGUUAGGAAAAGGCACUUUAUGAAACUAUUUUUAAAUCAUCUUUUCAAAUCCACUUCAAAUGGACAUGAUGGCAGGAGUUUGGCCUUUUGCAGCCAAGGAGCCAAGAUACAGCAGGGCGAGGAGAUGCAAGCCUAGCGUUAUAUGUUGAACACAGAACAUUUUUCCAUGGAAACAUGUUUGCCUGGUGGCUGAAUUCUGUAGAAUUUCAUAUAUACUGCAAGCGAAGUAGCCUAUCAAAGCAAACUUAGGAUCUUCUAUAUCCUAUAACUUUCCCACCAUAGGAAUUUUUGGUUAAAAUGUAGGGGGCACAAAGAGGAGGCAAUAAAAUUAUUGAGACAUCUUUUCUAACAUGAGCAUUUCUUACAAUUCAAAAGAUGGAAGUUACCCUUUGAAGAGAUGGAAAGUUAAACUUGUUUAAUUAGGCAGAGACUCUUCAUUUGAAAUUUUAUCUCCUUGUCUCUGUUCCUCUGAUUAACCUAUAGGAUGAUUUUAUGUGGCAUCAGCAUUUCCAAUAUUUUUUCUUUUUUUAAAAGUUGACUGAGCACAGUGGCUCACUCAAUUCCACCACUUUGGGAGACUGAAGAGGGUGUAUCUCUUGAGCCCAGGAGUUUGAGACCAGCCUGGGCAAUAUGGGGAAACCCCGUCUCUACAAAACACAACAACAAAAAAAUUAGCUGGGCAUGAUGAUGCGCACCUGUGGUCCCAGCUACUCAGGCUGAGGUGGGAGGAUCACUUGAGCCUGGGAAGUCAAGGCUGCCAUGAGCUGUGAUCAUGCCACUACGCUCCAGCCUGAGUGACAGAGUGAGACAAAAAAAAGACAUUCUUUAAUUCAUCUUUCUGUUGUUAGCUUAUUCAGAACAAUGGUAAAUUCAAGUUGUAAUAAUAAGGGAUGAUAGGGGAUUUUUUUUGUUUUGGUUUGGUUUUUUUUGAGACGGAGUCUCCCUCUGUUGCCCAGGCUGGAGUGCAGUGGUGCAAUCUUAGCUCACUGCAACCUCCACCUCCUGGGUUCAGGCAAUUCUCCUGCCUCAGCCUCCUGGGUAGCUGGGACUACAGGCACGUGCCACUAUGCCGGGCUAGUUUUUGUAUUUUCAGUAGAGACGGGAUUUCACCAUAUUGGCCAGGCUUGUCUCAAACCCCUGACCUCAUGAUCCACCUGCCUCGGCCUCCCAAAGUGCUGAGAUUAUAGGCGUGAGGCAGAUAAUAGGGGAUUUUACAGCAGCAAGCUGAAACUUGAAGUUUCUGGACCUUAGGAUCUCCCACUCCAUUAAAAUAUUUCAUCAACCAAAAUGCUUUUAUAUUACUGCUGUAGAGCAAUGUAGUAUUGUAUUUUGGGAGAUAGAAGAUUAUUAAGAAUGGGAGAGUUAUUUUCUGUGUAAAUAAAACUCUAUUUUGGUUAUCUUUCAUCCUUUCAAAUUUUUGAAAGUAAAAUUUUAAUCAAAAGCAUGUGAGUUCUUUUUUUUUUUUUCUUUUUUGAGAUGGAGUCUUGCACCUCAGUCUCCCAAAGUACUGGGAUUACAGGUGUGAGACACCACGCCCAGCCCUGUGUGAUUUUCAAAUUGGUUUUUAAUAGAUUUUUCAUGCCACACUCCUUCCUUCUUUCCUCUAUUUUUUUUCUGUCUACUUGCACUUAAAUUUGGGUUUUAAAAUACUCCCCCAAUCUGAUAUUUAAAUGUUUAAAUAACAAGAGAAAGAGGUAUCAUUAUAAUGUAAUUCGUAAGUAAUAUUAUUUUCUGAUUUUUUCCCAAUAUUUAUUUGCUGGUCUAAACAUCAUGUUCUUCUAUCUAUACUAUAAAAUUUAAACCAUGUGCCUUUAUACCUUUGAUAAAGGGGACAAAAAAUCCCCCACUAAAUUAGAAAACAAAAAAUAAAACUAUUUUUCAAGGUCAGCAAAUACAUAGUCCUCAUGCUGCCUGUCCCCUCUCAGUCCAUGGGUAUCACUAAUCACAAUCGUGUUUCCUGGUGAGUCAGGACAUGGUCUCAGAUCUUGAGAAUAGUGUUCUGGUAGCCACUCCCAACCGGUAAAAGUUACCCCUAUUCAUGAAAGCAGUAUCUCUGAUACUACUGAUAUUACCGAUUUGGGCAGAGUCUCUGUGCUUCUCAGACUUUCCCACCAAAAGAACGUUGCCUGACAUUUAACUAAAUGACUGAACAUCCUGAUUUAACUGCAUUUUAAAACUUCAUCUGUUCUAAAUACCAUUUCUACUUAAACUCACAAACAUGGGAAGACAUAAUUAUUCUCUGUAGUUAUUCAUAGAUAUAAGGUAAUUUAAUAGUAUGUUUUCAGCAUCUAACACUGGACCUAAACAUAGUAGACUAGUAAAUGUUUGAAUUAAUGCAUAAAUUAACUCUCUUGUGUAAUCAACAAUUUUUAAUAACCAAGAUACCUGAAAAGCUGAAGAAACCAACCCUUGUUAAAGCAAAAGAUGAU